rnacentral:tRNA from 1 species
AUCUUGCUCUUGACCUAACCAAAAGNCGUGUGACUCUUAAUCACAAGGUUAGGGGUUCGAGCCCCCUGCAGGGCU